UACGGAGGGGGCUAGCGUUGUUCGGAAUUACUGGGCGUAAAGCGCGCGUAGGCGGACCUGCAAGUCGGGGGUGAAAGCCCGAGGCUCAACCUCGGAACUGCCUUCGAUACUGCGGGUCUCGAGUCCGGGAGAGGUGAGUGGAAUUCCUAGUGUAGAGGUGAAAUUCGUAGAUAUUAGGAAGAACACCAGUGGCGAAGGCGGCUUUCUGGACGAUAACUGACGCUGAGACGCGAAAGCGUGGGGAGCAAACAGG
rnacentral:rRNA from 1 species